UACGGGGGGGGUAAGCGUUGUUCGGAAUUACUGGGCGUAAAGGGCGCGUAGGCGGCACAGCAAGUCGGGAGUGAAAGCCCGGGGCUCAACCCCGGAAUGGCUUUCGAAACUGCUGAGCUAGAGUACAGAAGGGGCAACCGGAAUUCCCAGUGUAGCGGUGAAAUGCGUAGAUAUUGGGAAGAACACCUGAGGCGAAGGCGGGUUGCUGGGCUGAUACUGACGCUGAGGCGCGAAAGCCAGGGGAGCAAACGGG
rnacentral:rRNA from 1 species